rnacentral:lncRNA from 1 species
UCUCAAUUGGGUGGGAGGCUUGAAGCAGCCGAACAGGAAAGCUUAGAUGAUGGCUAUGAUUUUGUGUUGGGUCUUAGAGCUCUUAUGAUCUCAUGCUUCAGAAGCUGAAAUUGUGUUGCUGCUAGACAAUAUUUGUCCCAAAACAUUAUAGCGUUAUAAUUGCUAUUUUUAAACCAGCUCUCUCUCUCUCUCCCUCAUACACUAGAGGAGGAGGCCGUUGCGUAGGGAAAUGGUUUAUAGGUAGUUUAGAGGAAAAUAAUAAGGAGGAGAAGUAGAUAGGAAAGAAGGGUAGGAGAAAAGAGAGGAGAAGAAUGGGUGGAGAAAGGGGAGGAGAAAGGUGAGGAGAAAGAGGAGGAGGAGAAUGGAUAGAGAAAGAAGAGGGAGAGAAAAAAGGGAGAAAGAGGACGAAGGAGAGAAGAAGAAAUGUAUGAAAAGAAAGGAAAGGAAGAGAAAAGAAAAAGGAAGGAAGUAAGAGAAAGAGGAACAUCGAUCAUGGAGGAGGGAGGAGGAAGA